GUGAAUACGGCCAAUCAUGAAACAACUGUGUCGCCAUCAGGGGCACGUUCAAGCUCAAACCGGUGUGCAACGUUUUCCUACGUUUUCCGAGUUGAACAACAUGUUUCCUGGAAACGGUGUGCCACAGGUUUGAGAUACGUUUUCUCUUGUUUGGUGGGCGUGUCAGAAAUGUCAGCCCAAUCAGCGGCAAUAUGUAUACAAACCAUGCGGUAUUAAAGAGACAACUCGCACAAUGAUAUUAACAUAAAUAUCAUAUAUACUUAUAUAUUUUGGUAUUGUAUUGUGAAGUGACACUUUAAUAAACUUUUCUAUACUCCUCUGAUUAUAUAAUGGUAAAUAUUACAAUAUCAUAGCACAACAAAAGUAAUCAGCAAUACUCACAAUAAAAAUAUUAUAUGUGAUGAGAUUAAAACAACUUUUCUUUUCUUUUACCACCCAUACAUGGCACACAAAACCGGUCUUGUGAGGAGGCUGUGCCCACAGGUAGAAAUUCUGUAGGUCCGCGGGCUUCUCCCCUUUCAGCAAACAUCACAGCGCUUAGUCCACCAUCGUGGUCUCCAGUCUCCAUUACCAACAGCCUGAGUGCUACACCUACAGACACCCCAACCCAUGUAGCAGCUGGCAGAAGUCAGAUAUCAGGCCAAACUGGAUUUCAACACACACCACAAGUAUAUGACACACAACACAGGUCUUCUCGGGAGGCUGUGCCUACAGCAAUUGCUAAGGAGAUCCUCAUCCAGCUCGAUUCUAUUAGAGAGCAGCAGUUGCUCAUCCUGGUGCAGCUCCAAAAAAUCUCCAGCAGUCAAGCAGUUCCAGACUUCACGCCAGACCCAACACCAUUUUAAACUACUACUUCUAGGGGGGUUAUUCAAUUCAGACCAAUCAUUUUUUACCAUGUUGCUAAGACAUUGAAGAUGUUAAAUUCAGAACAGAUAAUGGAUAUCUUGAACCGUCUUGCCAUGGUAAUAUAUUGAAGUAAUGUCAAAAAAGGGAAACGGAGUGACUCAUAUUCUCUAUAAAAAAACACUAUACACAAUUAAUUUAUA